rnacentral:rRNA from 1 species
GCCUACGGGGCGCAGCAGUAGGGAAUCUUCCACAAUGGGCGAAAGCCUGAUGGAGCAACGCCGCGUGGGUGAAGAAGGUCUUCGGAUCGUAAAACCCUGUGGUUAGAGAAGAAAGUGCGUGAGAGUAACUGUUCACGUUUCGACGGUAUCUAACCAGAAAGCCAAGGCUAACUACGUGCCAGCAGCCGCGGUAAUACGUAGGUGGCAAGCGUUAUCCGGAUUUAUUGGGCGUAAAGGGAACGCAGGCGGUCUUUUAAGUCUGAUGUGAAAGCCUUCGGCUUAACCGGAGUAGUGCAUUGGAAACU